UACGUAGGGGGCAAGCGUUGUCCGGAAUUAUUGGGCGUAAAGCGCGCGCAGGCGGCUUUGUAAGUCUGGUGUUUAAUCUCGGGGCUCAACCCCGAUUCGCAUUGGAAACUGCAAGGCUUGAGUGCAGAAGAGGAAAGUGGAAUUCCACGUGUAGCGGUGAAAUGCGUAGAGAUGUGGAGGAACACCAGUGGCGAAGGCGGCUCACUGGACCAUAACUGACGCUGAUGCACGAAAGCUAGGGGAGCAAACAGG
rnacentral:rRNA from 1 species